rnacentral:rRNA from 1 species
AUUGAACGCUAGCGGCGGGCUUAAUACAUGCAAGUCGAGGGGUAGCAAUACACCGGCGCACGGGUGCGUAACGCGUAUGCAACCUACCUUUAUCUGGGGGAUAGCCCGGGGAAACCCGGAUUAAUACCGCAUAACAAUCUGAACGGCAUCGAUUGGAUUUAAAAGAUUUAUUGGAUAGAGAUGGGCAUGCGUAAGAUUAGAUAGUUGGCGUGGUAACGGCUCACCAAGUCUACUAUCUUUAGGGGCUCUGCCAGGAGAAUCCCCCACACUGGCACUGAGAUACGGGCCAGACUCCUACGGGAGGCAGCAGUAGGGAAUAUUGGGCAAUGGACGCAAGUCUGACCCAGCAACGCCGCGUGCAGGAAGACGGCCCUCUGGGUUGUAAACUGCUUUUGACUGGGAAGAAAAGACUCCUUGCGAGGAGAGUUGACGGUACCAGCAGAAUAAGCCACGGCUAACUACGUGCCAGCCGCCGCCGUAAAAC